GACGAACGCCGGCGGCGUGCCUAAUACAUGCAAGUCGAACGAAGAUCUAGCUUGCUAGAUCUUAGUGGCGAACGGGUGAGUAAUACAUAAAUAAUCUGCCCAUAUGACUGGGAUAACUAUUGGAAACGAUAGCUAAUACCGGAUAGGUUGAUUGGAGGCAUCUCUGAUUAAUUAAAGUAGGAUUUCUACACAAAUGGAUGAGUUUAUGGCGCAUUAGUUAGUUGGUGGGGUAACGGCCUACCAAGACGAUGAUGAGUAGCCGACCUGAGAGGGUGACCGGCCACACUGGGACUGAGACACGGCCCAGACUCCUACGGGAGGCAGCAGUAGGGAAUUUUCGGCAAUGGGCGCAAGCCUGACCGAGCAACGCCGCGUGAGUGAUUAAGGCCCUUGGGUUGUAAAGCUCUUUCGUUUGGGAAGAAGGAAGUGUGGCUAAUAUCCACGCUGACAGACGGUACCAAAAUAAGAAGCACCGGCUAACUACGUGCCAGCCGCCGCCGUAA
rnacentral:rRNA from 1 species